AUUGAACGCUGGCGGCAUGCCUUACACAUGCAAGUCGAACGGCAGCACGGGGGCAACCCUGGUGGCGAGUGGCGAACGGGUGAGUAAUGCAUCGGAACGUACCCGGAAGUGGGGGAUAACGUAGCGAAAGUUACGCUAAUACCGCAUAUUCUGUGAGCAGGAAAGCAGGGGAUCGCAAGACCUUGCGCUUUCGGAGCGGCCGAUGGCGGAUUAGCUAGUUGGUGGGGUAAAGGCUUACCAAGGCGACGAUCCGUAGCUGGUCUUAGAGGAUGAUCAGCCACACUGGGACUGAGACACGGCCCAGACUCCUACGGGAGGCAGCAGUGGGGAAUUUUGGACAAUGGGGGCAACCCUGAUCCAGCCAUGCCGCGUGAGUGAAGAAGGCCUUCGGGUUGUAAAGCUCUUUCGGACGGAAAGAAAUCGCCAUCUCUAACAUAGGUGGUGGAUGACGGUACCGUCAUAAGAAGCACCGGCUAACUACGUGCCAGCAGCCGCGGUAA
rnacentral:rRNA from 1 species